rnacentral:rRNA from 1 species
GGGGAAUAUUGCGCAAUGGGGGAAACCCUGACGCAGCAAUACCGCGUGAGUGAAGAAGGUUUUCGGAUCGUAAAGCUCUGUUAUUGGGGAAGAAAAAAAGACGGUACCCAAGAAGAAAGUCCCGGCUAACUACGUGCCAGCAGCCGCGGUAAUACGUAGGGGACAAGCGUUGUCCGGAUUUACUGGGCGUAAAGGGCACGCAGGCGGACUUUUAAGUCAGGGGUGAAAUCCCGGGGCUCAACCCCGGAACUGCCUUUGAUACUGGAAGUCUUGAGUAUGGUAGAGGUGAGUGGAAUUCCGAGUGUAGAGGUGAAAUUCGUAGAUAUUCGGAGGAACACCAGUGGCGAAGGCGGCUCACUGGACCAUUACUGACGCUGAGGUGCGAAAGCGUGGAGAGCAAACA